AUUGAACGCUGGCGGCAGGCUUAACACAUGCAAGUCGAACGAGUGGCGGACGGGUGAGUAAUGCUUGGGAAUCUAGCUUAUGGAGGGGGAUAACUACGGGAAACUGUAGCUAAUACCGCGUACCAUAGGAUGAGGCCAAGUGGGAUUAGGUAGUUGGUGAGGUAAAGGCUCACCAAGCCGAAGAUCUCUAGCUGGUCCGAGAGGAGGACACCCCCCACGGGGACUGAGACACGGCCCAGACGCCACCAUAACUACUACUUUAUCAAUAUUGCGCAAUGAGGGCAACCUGACUCAGCCAUGCCGCGUGAAUGAAGAACUCCUUCGGGUUUUAAAGUUCUUUCGGUAGCAAGGCGUUAACUACAGAAGAAGCACCGGCUAACUCCGUGCCAGCAGCCGCGGUAAUAC
rnacentral:rRNA from 1 species